UACGUAGGGUGCGAGCGUUGUCCGGAUUUAUUGGGCGUAAAGAGCGUGUAGGCGGCCUGAAAGGUCAGCUGUGAAAACUCGAGGCUCAACCUCGAGACGUCGGUUGAAACCAUCUGGCUAGAGUCCGGAAGAGGAGAACGGAAUUCCCGGUGUAGCGGUGAAAUGCGCAGAUAUCGGGAAGAACACCCGUGGCGAAGGCGGUUCUCUGGGACGGUACUGACGCUGAGACGCGAAAGCGUGGGAGCGAACAGG
rnacentral:rRNA from 1 species